UACGUAGGGUGCAGGCGUUAAUCGGAAUUACUGGGCGUAAAGCGUGCGCAGGCGGUUUCUUAAGUCAGAUGUGAAAGCCCCAGGCUUAACCUGGGAACUGCGUUUGAAACUGGGAGACUUGAGUGUGGCAGAGGGGGGUGGAAUUCCACGUGUAGCAGUGAAAUGCGCAGAUAUCAGGAGGAACACCGGUGGCGAAGGCGGCAUCCUGGACCGACACUGACGCUGAGGAGCGAAAGCCAGGGGAGCAAACGGG
rnacentral:rRNA from 1 species